rnacentral:rRNA from 1 species
GACUCUUGGCAAUGGAUAUCUUGGCUCUCGCACCGAUGAAGAACAUAAGAAAAUACGAUACUUUGUGUGAAUUAUAGAAUCACGUGAACCCAUCGAGGCUUUUAAAUUCAAGUUACUCCCAAAGUCACUAGGCCGGUGACAUGCCUGCUUGGGUUGCG